GGAAAAAUGCUAAGUAUAGGUCAUUUUAGAGCUAUCCUAGGUUAAAUGCUAGGUUGUAUUUCUUUACAGAGGGGGUACUAGUCAAAGUCAACCAAUUUCGUCAUGUCAUGGUGAGCUGCACCGUGAGCAGUACAUGGCUCUACCUAUCAAAACAAGAAAACAUACUUCUUGGACCCUGAAAACAACGGACAACGGUUCUUCCACUUGAAAUCAACACCAUGGCUCACAGGCAGAAUACUGGCAGUAAUAAUCAAAUAAACUAUACAAGGAGUUGUUUCGAUUCCACAACAAGGAUCAAAACAUGCACAACCAUGUCUUAUGUUGCAACUGAACAACACAUACUACAGCCAUCAAAACCAGCAGAUUGACAGGUUAGAGUCAAUCCCACCAUCUCAUUUACUCCUCCCUUCCCUUGAGAAAAACAAAAUUCUUUACAAAUAUAAUAGCCAACACAUGGAAUAUAUUUGUUGUGCUCUAAGCAUCUCAACUCAGCGCCAGUAGUGAUGGCACAACACACAUACCUUGGUUUUUACAUGCUCUUUCUCCUUGACAUCCUUAUUAUACUUGUCUUUGUGGAAGUCCAUGAUCUUGCAAGUAGGAUGGUCCUAUUUCCGAUGGACCUGCAUGGGCGGCGACAAGAUAACCAUGAGAAAUGGAAAUGCUGACAGUCGCGCACAAACAAUCGAAAAAGAAUCUCAAGAAAAUGCUAAAACUUGGGAUCAAACAAUUGAAGAAGGAAAUGCAGCACUACCUCAACCAGGUGCAAGCCCAUCCUGGAUACAACUUUAUGCCCUCGGUACAACAUUAUGAUCUGCAAAGUUGAAACAUGAUAUGUGAAAGCCUAUGAUCUUGCAAAUCAACAAUAUAACAUGUUUGUUAACGCACAACAAGGAAGCUUCAGUUCAAAAUUAUAUGAUGUCGCACACUUUCAAACGUGGCUCUGUUCUAAGCAUUCCAACUCAGCUUCAGUUGUGGUGUGACGACAAAUUUACCCAAGCAGGAUGAUUUUAUCACAUACCUUGUUAUUUUAGGCGAUCUUUCUCCAUGGCAUCCUUGGUAUACUUGUCUUUGUGAAAGCCUAUGAUCUUGGAAACAGGAGGGCCUGAUUUCCCAAGGACCUGCACAUGCGGUAACGAGAAAACCAUGAAAACAGAAAUUCCGACAGUUGCGCACAAGCAAUUGAAAAAGAAUCUCAAGAAAAUGGCAACACUUGGGCACAAACAAUUGAAGAAGAAGGAAAUGCAGUGGUACCUCAACUAGGUUCAAUCCCAUCCUAGGAGCCAUUCAAAGACAUCCUGGGCACUACAUCAUGCCCUGCAAAAAAUAAGAAGCAUGCCAUGUUCAGCAUCUGAAUGUUGAACCAAGCAGGUUCAGGUUUGUGCAAUCCCGUGUCAAACUCCCUAGUAGAUGCAUUGAUAGUUGUACAUUUGAUAUAUGGUUAAUUUAAAGCGAUCGCCAUCACCAAAAAAACAAAUAUUUUAGGUGAGUUAAACAGUGCAAAUCACAGUGGACACAUGAAUCAUGCAGAUGUGAUCCUACCACUUCACUUGUCCAAACUUAAGAUGAUGACUACACACAAACACACACACGCACACACAUAUGCUUGGUUGUUGCCAAGUAACCAAGCAAGUUUAGGUUUUAUUUUUUUUUUGAUAAAUCUCCUCCUAAAAGAAAACAGCAUGCCAACUAAUUUACUUGGUACAUGCAAUGCUUGAAUACAAAUAGCCCUCCGGUGAAACUAAAUGAGGGAGAGGAAAAUUGGGUGGUUUGAGUCGCAAACUACACAACCUUAGGAACCAUGAGCUGCACAUCAUUUAGCAAAUGAGUUGAGGCUAGUGCACUGUGCCAUGGAUUGCAAUUUGCAGAAAUUGGACUAGAGCAGAGGAGUGGUAAGAAGUAGAGAAGAGUAGGGGGCAGUUACCUUGUGCGGUGCCCCGUCGUGGUCGAGCUCAAUGUACCGGUCCUCAUCCUCCCCUACAUCAUGGUCAUCCCCGUCCAUAGAGGGUGCCUUCCUG
rnacentral:lncRNA from 1 species